AGCAGCCGCGGUAAUUCCAGCUCCAAUAGCGUAUAUUAAAGUUGUUGCAGUUAAAAAGCUCGUAGUUGAAUUUCGGAAUCUGUCCAUCGGUCGGGCUUCACUGUCCGUACUGGUGCGGUGGGUUCUUACCUUCUGAAUAACCAGCAUGCCACUCACUUGGUGCGUUGGGGAAGCAGGACUAUUACCUUGAAAAAAUUAGAGUGCUCAAAGCAGGCUAGUGCCUGAAUAUAUUAGCACGGAAUAAUAAAAUAGGACGGCAUGGUUCUAUUUUGUUGGUUUUCUAGGUAUCACCGUAAUGAUUAAUAGGGAUAGUUGGGGGCAUUAGUAUUCAAUUGUCAGAGGUGAAAUUCUUGGAUUUAUUGAAGACUAACUUCUAGCGAAAGCAUUUGCCAAGGAUGUUUCAUUAUCAAGAACGAAAGUUAGGGAUUCGAAGACGAUACAGAUACCGUCGUAGUCUUAACCAUAAACUAUGCGACUAGGGAUCGGACGAUGUUAAUUUUUAUGUAACUUCGUUCGGCGA
rnacentral:rRNA from 1 species